GCAAUUGUACCGCGAAACUGCGAAUGGCUCAUUAAAUCAGUUAUCGUCUAUUUGAUAGUACCUUACUACUUGGAUAACCGUGGUAAUUCUAGAGCUAAUACAUGCUGAAAACCCCGACUUCGGAAGGGAUGUAUUUAUUAGAUUAAAAACCAAUGCCCUCCGGGGCUCCCUGGUGAUUCAUGAUAACUUCUCGAAUCGCACGGCCUUGCGCCGGCGAUGGUUCAUUCAAAUUUCUGCCCUAUCAACUUUCGACGGCUGGGUCUUGGCCAGCCAUGGUGACAACGGGUAACGGAGGGUUAGGGCUCGACCCCGGAGAAGGAGCCUGAGAAACGGCUACUACAUCUAAGGAAGGCAGCAGGCGCGCAAAUUACCCAAUCCCGACGCGGGGAGGUAGUGACAAUAAAUACUGAUACAGGGCUCUUUAGGGUCGUGUAAUUGGAAUGAGUACAGUUUAAUUCCCUUAACGAGGAACAAUUGGAGGGCAAGUCUGGUGCCAGCAGCCGCGGUAAUUCCAGCUCCAAUAGCGUAUAUUAAAGUUGUUGCAGUUAAAAAGCUCGUAGUUGAACCUUGGGCCUGGCUGGCCGGUCCGCCUCACCGCGUGCACUGGUCCGGCCGGGCCUUUCCCUCUGGGGAGCCGCAUGCCCUUCACUGGGCGUGCCGGGGAACCAGGACGUUUACUUUGAAAAAAUUAGAGUGUUCAAAGCAGGCUUAUGCUCGGAUACAUUAGCAUGGAAUAAUGGAAUAGGACGUGCGGUUCUAUUUUGUUGGUUUCUAGGACCGCCGUAAUGAUUAAUAGGGACAGUCGGGGGCAUCAGUAUUCAAUUGUCAGAGGUGAAAUUCUUGGAUUUAUUGAAGACUAACUACUGCGAAAGCAUUUGCCAAGGAUGUUUUCAUUAAUCAGGAACGAAAGUUAGGGGAUCGAAGACGAUCAGAUACCGUCGUAGUCUUAACCAUAAACUAUGCCGACUAGGGAUCGGACGCUGUUGUCUUUUGACGCGUUCGGCACCUUACACGAAAGUACAAGUUUCUGGGUUCUGGGGGGAGUA
rnacentral:rRNA from 1 species